UACGUAGGCAGCAAGCGUUGUUCGGAUUUACUGGGCGUAAAGGGCGCGUAGGCGGCUUAACAAGUCACUUGUGAAAUCUCCGGGCUUAACUCGGAACGGCCAAGUGAAACUGUCAAGCUAGAGUGCAGAAGGGGCAAUCGGAAUUCUUGGUGUAGCGGUGAAAUGCGUAGAUAUCAAGAGGAACACCUGAGGUGAAGACGGGUUGCUGGGCUGACACUGACGCUGAGGCGCGAAAGCCAGGGGAGCAAACGGG
rnacentral:rRNA from 1 species